rnacentral:sRNA from 1 species
GAAGCGUCAACCCGGCACCACGGUCAAUACCGUGGACAAGACCGGGACCGUCGCUGCGCAAGGAGCGACUGCC